rnacentral:rRNA from 1 species
CGUGGCGCACAGCUCAGUAACACGUGGCUAACCUGCCCUUAAGACGGAAACAUCCCCGGGAAACUGGGGCUAAUUUCCGAUAGGUGAAGACUCCUGGAAUGGAUUUUCGCCGAAAGGGCGCUUAGAGCAUGCUUCUAGGCGUUGCUUAAGGAUGGGGCCGCGGCCGAUCAGGUUGUUGGUGAGGUAAUGGCUCACCAAGCCUUUAACCGGUACGGGCCGUGGGAGCGGUAGCCCGGAGAUGGGCACUGAGGCAAGGGCCCAGGCCCUACGGGGCGCAGCAGUCGCGAAAACUUCGCAAUAAGCGAAAGCUUGACGGGGCCAUCCCGAGUGCCAUCUGCUGAAGAUGGCUUUUACCCAGUAUAGAUAGCUGGGGGAAUAAGGAGAGGGCAAGUCUGGUGUCAGCCGCCGCGGUAAUACCAGCUCUCCGAGUUGUAGGGAUGUUUAUUGGGCCUGAAGCAUCCGUAGCCGGCUGGACAAGUCCUCUGUUAAAUCCAGCGACCAAUCGUUGGUCUGCGGGGGAUACUGUCCGGCUAGGGGGCGGGAGAGGCCGUCGGUAUUCCUGGGGUAGGGGUGAAAUCCUAUAAUCCCAGGAGGACCACCAGUGGCGAAGGCUGUCGUCUAGAACGUGCCCGACGGUAAGGGAUGAAAGCUGGGGGAGCGAACCGGAUUAGAUACCCGGGUAGUCCCAGCUGUAAACGAUGCAGGCUAGGUGUUAGGGCGGCUACGUGCCGCUCUAGUGCCGCAGGGAAGCUGUUAAGCCUGCCGCCUGGGGAGUACGCCAGCAAGGCUGAACUUAAAGGCCA